rnacentral:rRNA from 1 species
GACGUAGGGCGCGAGCGUUGUCCGGAUUUAUUGGGCGUAAAGAGCUCGUAGGCGGCUUGUUGCGUCGACCGUGAAAACCUACGGCUUAACUGUGGGCGUGCGGUUGAUACGGGCAGGCUGGAGUUCGGUAGGGGAGACUGGAAUUCCAGGUGUGAGCGGUGAAAUGCGUAGAUAUCUGGAGGAACACCGGUGGCGAAGGCGGUUUUCUAGCUUAUUCCUGACGCUAAAGCGCGAAAGCAAGGGGAUCAAACAGG